CCUACGGGUGGCUGCAGUGGGGAAUAUUGGGCAAUGGGGGGAACCCUGACCCAGCAACGCCGCGUGGAGGAAGAAGGUUUUCGGAUUGUAAACUCCUGUCCUUGGUGAAGAGGAAGAGACGGUAGCCAAGGAGGAAGCCCCGGCUAACUACGUGCCAGCAGCCGCGGUAAUACGUAGGGGGCAAGCGUUGUCCGGAAUGAUUGGGCGUAAAGGGCGCGUAGGCGGCUCGGUAAGUUCGGAGUGAAAUUCCUGUUUUCAAGGUAGGAAUGGCUCUGGAUACUGUCGGGCUUGAGUGCAGGAGAGGUCAGUGGAAUUCCCAGUGUAGCGGUGAAAUGCGUAGAGAUUGGGAAGAACACCAGUGGCGAAGGCGGCUGACUGGACUGUAACUGACGCUGAGGCGCGAAAGUGUGGGGAGCAAACAGGAUUAGAUACCCUAGUAGUC
rnacentral:rRNA from 1 species